rnacentral:lncRNA from 1 species
AAGAAUUCACAAGGUUAGUUAUGUUCCCAUCUGCGUAGGAGCAUGGAGGGUUGUUGUAGAACUGAACCCAAACAAAGUCAAAUAGGCCUGUGUCUAGGGCAGUGCCCAAAAACCUAUCAGGAAUUGGACACUGAGGGGCAGCACCUAGGUAUACCCUCUUCCCUACCCUACUAUAUUCUUUGAGGAAACGUGCAAGGUGCUCAUAGUUUUCUGUUGAGCCUUGUUCUAUGUCGAAAUCUAUGCCAUCUAACACGGCAUCGCCUAGUGGUCUUGUUGAUGAGUUGCCCCCCAAGAAAGUGUUCCACAAGAAGGUUGAAACGUUUCUUGCAUCCUCAACGGAAGCCAAAGUGUAGCUUCCAAUGCCACCACCAAUGGAAAGCAACACCUUGAUGUUUUUGCUCUGGCAGUCCUUGAUUUCAGCGCUGAACUUUGUGCAGGAAUUGGUUGCGGGGUUGCAGUGACCAGCCAGGUUCAUUUCUGGGGUUUGGCCAUUGCCGAAUACGUUGAGGAAAGCU